GUGCUCACUUCAGCAGCACAUAUACUAAUAUUGGAACCAUACAGAAAAGAUAGCAUGGCCCCUGCACAAGGAUGACAUGCAAAUUUGUGAAGCGUUCCAUAUUAAC
rnacentral:snRNA from 1 species